rnacentral:rRNA from 1 species
AUGGCCAGCGCGCUAUGCGGCGGCGGCGGCAGCGUGGCGGCGCCGUGCGGGGACUUGGGCGCCGCGGCGGCGCUCGCGGAGUCUUUGCCGAUGGGCGCUGGGUACCGCUCCAAGAGCUCCUUCCCCGCCGGGAGGGUGGCGCUGGCGGACAGGCCCCUGCCCCGGAGCCUCCAAGCGGCGGCCGCUGCUGGACAGAUGAACGGGAACCUGACGAUUGGCAAGGCCAUGAGGUGGUGGGAGAAGGUGACGCACCCCAACAUGAGGGAGGUCGAGUCCGCGCAAGACCUCGCCUACUCCCUGCUCAACGCCGGCGACAAGCUCGUCGUCGUCGACUUCUUCUCCCCCGGCUGCGGUGGCUGCCGCGCUCUCCACCCCAAGAUUGCGCAGUUCGCUGAGCGGAAUCCGGACGUGCUGUUCCUGCAAGUCAACUACGAGAAGCACAAGUCCAUGUGCUACAGCCUCCAUGUCCAUGUCCUCCCUUUCUUCAGGUUCUACAGGGGAGCUCAGGGCAGGGUCAGCAGCUUCAGCUGCACCAAUGCAACCAUCAAGAAGUUCAAGGACGCCCUCGCAAAGCACUCGCCGGACAGGUGCAGCCUCGGCCCGGCACGGGGGCUCGAGGAGGCGGAGCUCUUGGCUCUGGCUGCAAACAGGGACCUGGAAUUCACCUACAACGAGAAGCCGACGCUGGUGCCGAUCGCCGAGGCCAUCCAAAUGGAAGCUGCCUCCAUUGGCGGCCCAUGGAUGCCAUUGCCUGCGGCCGCGACGCAGCCUCUCACUCUGGGAUCUGAGAAUGGCUCGCUGAUCCCCUCUGGAAGAUAG